rnacentral:rRNA from 1 species
AGGGUUUGAUUCUGGCUCAGGAUGAACGCUGGCGGCGUGCUUAACACAUGCAAGUCGAACGGGAAUCACUUCAUUGAGACUUCGGUGGAUUUGAUUUGAUUCUAGUGGCGGACGGGUGAGUAACGCGUGGGUAACCUGCCUUAUACAGGGGGAUAACAGUCAGAAAUGACUGCUAAUACCGCAUAAGCGCACAGGACCGCAUGGUCCGGUGUGAAAAACUCCGGUGGUAUAAGAUGGACCCGCGUUGGAUUAGCUUGUUGGUGGGGUAACGGCCCACCAAGGCGACGAUCCAUAGCCGGCCUGAGAGGGUGAACGGCCACAUUGGGACUGAGACACGGCCCAG